rnacentral:tRNA from 1 species
UCAGGGAGCGGUUAGGCUUUAGGACUCAUACUCCUAAGAUGUAUUUCUCUGAU